rnacentral:lncRNA from 1 species
GCCGAAAGAGGUGACAGACAAGGUAAGCAGUCAAACUUCCAAGCAAGCAACCCAGGAUCGGAGGUUCGUCUUCGGCUUCCGGUUGAUUGUUCUCCUUUUCCUUGUCUCUCAUUCAGCUGCCAGGAUAAGGAGAAACAAAUGGAGAAGAGGUGAUAUGAGAUACUUUUGCUUUUGAAGAAGUAACUUUCCACAGGCUAAUUCUUGAACUGUGCCGGAGGGUUUUCUGGUUCCCUUCAGAGUAUAAAGCUGACUCAAGAAUUUGAGGGUCAAAACAAGUCCAUCAAAUCUAGAGUAUGUUCGACCUUGAUGAUAUGGGAUACUGUUGCUGUUGACGGAAUAGUGAAUGUGGUAUGGAAAGGUGUCGUGCUGUAGUGAUCUGUUUCAGCUCACCGUUG